rnacentral:rRNA from 1 species
UGGGGAAUUGUUCACAAUGGGCGCAAGCCUGAUGACGCAACGCCGCGUGGAGGAUGAAGGUCUUCGGAUUGUAAACUCCUGUUGCUCGGGAAGAAUGGCUCCGACCUAACACGUCGGAGUGUGACGGUACCGGGUGAGGAAGCCCCGGCUAACUCUGUGCCAGCAGCCGCGGUAAUACAGAGGGGGCAAGCGUUGUUCGGAAUUACUGGGCGUAAAGGGCGCGUAGGCGGCCUGUUAAGUCGAACGUGAAAUCCCCGGGCUCAACCCGGGAACUGCGUCCGAUACUGGCAGGCUUGAAUUCGGGAGAGGGAUGUGGAAUUCCAGGUGUAGCGGUGAAAUGCGUAGAUAUCUGGAGGAACACCGGUGGCGAAGGCGGCAUCCUGGACCGAUAUUGACGCUGAUGCGCGAAAGCCAGGGGAGCAAACGG